UACGUAGGGGGCAAGCGUUGUCCGGAUUUAUUGGGCGUAAAGAGCGUGUAGGCGGUUUGGUAGGUCCGCUGUGAAAACUCGAGGCUCAACCUCGAGACGCCGGUGGAAACCAUCAGGCUAGAGUCCGGAAGAGGAGAGUGGAAUUCCUGGUGUAGCGGUGAAAUGCGCAGAUAUCAGGAAGAACACCCGUGGCUAAGGCGGCUCUCUAGUACGGUACUGACGCUGAGACGCGAAAGCGUGGGGAGCGAACAGGA
rnacentral:rRNA from 1 species